AAACUUCAUGUUGCCCAUUCACCUUUGGAAACUGGUGACGAUGGUGUAAAGGAAGGCAUACAUUGACUGCUUGGCAGCCUUUUCCAGCACUGAGAUUCAGUAUCUGGCACAGGACCUUGCACAAGUGACAGUU
ensembl:snoRNA